rnacentral:rRNA from 1 species
CUUGAGAUGAGUUUUCCCUGGCGCUAUAAGCGUCCUAAAGGGUUGUCGUAGACUACGACGUUGAUAGGCAGGGUGUGUAAGUGCUGCGAGGCAUUGAGCUAACCUGUACUAAUUGCCCGUGAGGCUUAACCAUACAACACCCAAGGGGUUU